ACGUGGAUCAUCUACCUCUUAGUGGGGAAUAACUUUGGGAAACCGAAGCUAAUACCGCAUAAGCCUGGAAAGGGAAAGCAGCAAUGCGCUGAGAGAGGAGUCCGCGGCCGAUUAGCUAGUUGGUGAGGUAAUGGCUCACCAAGGCGACGAUCGGUAGCCGGCCUGAGAGGGCACACGGCCACACUGGCACUGAAACACGGGCCAGACUCCUACGGGAGGCAGCAGUGGGGAAUCUUGCACAAUGGGGGAAACCCUGAUGCAGCGACGCCGCGUGAGCGAUGAAACCCUUCGGGGUGUAAA
rnacentral:rRNA from 1 species